CACGUAGGGGGCGAGCGUUGUCCGGAAUUAUUGGGCGUAAAGAGCUCGUAGGCGGUUUGUCGCGUCUGCUGUGAAAUCUGGGGGCUCAACCCCCAGCCUGCAGUGGGUACGGGCAGACUAGAGUGCGGUAGGGGAGAUUGGAAUUCCUGGUGUAGCGGUGGAGUGCGCAGAUAUCAGGAGGAACACCGAUGGCGAAGGCAGAUCUCUGGGCCGUAACUGACGCUGAGGAGCGAAAGCAUGGGGAGCGAACAGG
rnacentral:rRNA from 1 species